CACCAAUCCACCUCCAGUCCGGCACCGAUCCACCUCCAGUUCUCCACGGAUCCACCCAUUUCCCCUAUUUCUCGUUUCCCUUCUUCCACAAAUCCUUAACCCCUUGCCCGACUGCCCUCCUCCCUUUUUUUCUCAACCUUUACCUCCGGCACCAAUCCACCUCCGGUCCGGCACCGAUCCACCUCCGGUCCUCCACGGCUCCACCCAUUUCC
rnacentral:lncRNA from 1 species